AAAUGUUAUGACGAUACACAGUAUUUGUUCAUAGUCAUACUUUCACUGUUUCAUGGGUUAAUUAUGCAUGUUGUCAGUACAAGAUAUGUCCUUGGUCGAUUGUUUUCGUAUUGUAUAUACGUUAAUGUCAUUUAACACAUACUUUGAUUUCUAUAUUAUAUUUAUCAGUCUAAUCAUCAAUUAAUAACUUUAACAUAUAUAUGCAUACUAACGGUACGCACUUAUUGUGUUUGAAUAACAGCUUUCGUUUUUGUAUAAUUAAAAAUGUGAUCGAAAUAAAGAAAUGUAGUAUGUAUUGUCACAUGACAAAUUGUUGUUAAAGAAAUAACUUUUAAAUCAAAA
rnacentral:lncRNA from 1 species